rnacentral:rRNA from 1 species
CCUACGGGUGGCAGCAGUGGGGAAUAUUGCGCAAUGGGGGAAACCCUGACGCAGCAACGCCGCGUGCGGGACGAAGGCCCUCGGGUUGUAAACCGCUUUCAGCAGGGAAGAAAAAGACGGUACCUGACGAAGAAGCUCCGGCUAACUACGUGCCAGCAGCCGCGGUAAUACGUAGGGGGCGAGCGUUAUCCGGAUUCACUGGGCGUAAAGCGCGCGUAGGCGGCGGGCCAAGGCGGGAGUGUAAGGCCGGGGCUCAACCCCCGGACCGGUCUCGAAACUGGGCGGCUGGAGUGCAGUAGAGGAGAGCGGAAUUCCUGGUGUAGCGGUGGAAUGCGCAGAUAUCGGGAAGAACACCGAUGGUGAAGGCAGCUCACUGGACCGUAACUGACGCUGAGGCGCGAAAGCGUGGGGAGCAAACAGGAUUAGAUACCCUGGUAGUC